ACGAACGCUGGCGGCGUGCUUAACACAUGCCAGUCGAACGGAAAGGCCCUGCUUUUGUGGGGUGCUCGAGUGGCGAACGGGUGAGUAACACGUGAGUAACCUGCCCUUGACUUUGGGAUAACUUCAGGAAACUGGGGCUAAUACCGGAUAGGAGCUCCUGCUGCAUGGUGGGGGUUGGAAAGUUUCGGCGGUUUGGGAUGGACUCGCGGCUUAUCAGCUUGUUGGUGGGGUAGUGGCUUACCAAGGCUUUGACGGGUAGCCGGCCUGAGAGGGUGACCGGCCAAAUUGGGGAGCUGGGUGCGGCCGCGACUCCUGGGGGGGGGAGAGGGGGGAAAUAUUAAAAAAGGGGGAGGAGCUUGAGGCGGCAACGCGGGGUGGGAGACGCCGGUUUGGGGGUGUAAAACCGGUUCACCAUGGGGCGAAGGGUGAUGAGCGGUAAGGGAAAAAGAAGCACCGGAUACAUACU
rnacentral:rRNA from 1 species